rnacentral:lncRNA from 1 species
CAGCCGAAGGCCACCUGGAAGCUCACUCCGUAUUUGAAAUGGUGCUUCUUGAAGUUUCAUUAGGCUGUCCUCCAAUCUCCUUUCCAAAGGGACCUUGUGACCUUCCUCAAAAAACACCACUGGAAGUUUAGGCUUGACACAAUGCUGUACAAAGGAAGCAAGAGAGAUCAAGCAGCAGGGGUGCGGUGAGCGGCCUGGCCACAGCACCCACAGCAGGUGCAGCCCUGCCGACUGAGAUUUCCUGCCAGCAACCACAUGGCUUGUCCUCCCUGAGCCUUGCCAGCCGGUCGGCGUACAGCUGUGAGCCACGGCACACACAAGUGUCCUGAGAGGUUUUUCCUGGAUGAAAU